rnacentral:rRNA from 1 species
GAUGAACGCUGGCGGCGUGCCUAAUACAUGCAAGUCGAGCGAACAGACGAGGAGCUUGCUCCUCUGACGUUAGCGGCGGACGGGUGAGUAACACGUGGAUAACCUACCUAUAAGACUGGGAUAACUUCGGGAAACCGGAGCUAAUACCGGAUAAUAUAUUGAACCGCAUGGUUCAAUAGUGAAAGACGGUUUUGCUGUCACUUAUAGAUGGAUCCGCGCCGCAUUAGCUAGUUGGUAAGGUAACGGCUUACCAAGGCAACGAUGCGUAGCCGACCUGAGAGGGUGAUCGGCCACACUGGAACUGAGACACGGUCCAGACUCCUACGGGAGGCAGCAGUAGGGAAUCUUCCGCAAAGGGCGAAAGCUUGACGGAGCAACGCCGCGUGAGUGAUGAAGGUCUUCGGAUCGUAAAACCCUGUUAUUAGGGAAGAACAAAUGUGUAAGUAACUAUGCACGUCUUGACGGUACCUAAUCAGAAAGCCACGGCUAACUACGUG